rnacentral:rRNA from 1 species
CCUACGGGAGGCAGCAGUAGGGAAUCUUGCGCAAUGGGCGAAAGCCUGACGCAGCCAUGCCGCGUGAAUGAUGAAGGUCUUAGGAUUGUAAAAUUCUUUCACCGGGGACGAUAAUGACGGUACCCGGAGAAGAAGCCCCGGCUAACUUCGUGCCAGCAGCCGCGGUAAUACGAAGGGGGCUAGCGUUGCUCGGAAUUACUGGGCGUAAAGGGAGCGUAGGCGGAUAGUUUAGUCAGAGGUGAAAGCCCAGGGCUCAACCUUGGAAUUGCCUUUGAUACUGGCUAUCUUGAGUAUGGAAGAGGUAUGUGGAACUCCGAGUGUAGAGGUGAAAUUCGUAGAUAUUCGGAAGAACACCAGUGGCGAAGGCGACAUACUGGUCCAUUACUGACGCUGAGGCUCGAAAGCGUGGGGAGCAAACAGGAUUAGAUACCCCUGGUAGUACGUACCGACCGUAACCCGUAAACGUAGUUCGUAACCUUACGUACCGUUUGGGUACGGGUCCUUUAAGUUAGGACCUUUCGGUUUAAACGGUCGGUACGGCUAAACGGCGUUAACCGGACGUAGUUAAACCGGUUCCGUACCGGGGACCGUUACGGGGGUACGGUACCGGACCGGACGUUAAAACGGGUUUAAACCGUAACGGAAAAUUUGGAAACCGGUUCGGUACGGUUACGUUACGUAGUUACCGUUACGGACCGAACCGGACCGACGGACGG